GACGAACGCUGGCGGCGUGCUUAACACAUGCAAGUCGAACGGAAAGGCCCUGCUUUUGUGGGGUGCUCGAGUGGCGAACGGGUGAGUAACACGUGAGUAACCUGCCCUUGACUUUGGGAUAACUUCAGGAAACUGGGGCUAAUACCGGAUAGGAGCUCCUGCUGCAUGGUGGGGGUUGGAAAGUUUCGGCGGUUGGGGAUGGACUCGCGGCUUAUCAGCUUGUUGGUGGGGUAGUGGCUUACCAAGGCUUUGGCGGGUAGCCGGCCUGAGAGGGUGACCGGCCACAUUGGUACUGAGAUACGGCCCAGACUCCUACGGGAGGCAGCAGUGGGGAAUAUUGCACAAUGGGCGGAAGCCUGAUGCAGCAACGCCGCGUGCGGGAUGACGGCCUUCGGGUUGUAAACCGCUUUCGCCUGUUACGAAGCGUGAGUGACGGUAAUGGGUAAAGAAGCACCGGCUAACUACGUG
rnacentral:rRNA from 1 species